rnacentral:rRNA from 1 species
AGCUCCAAUAGCGUAUAUUAAAGUUGUUGCAGUUAAAAAGCUCGUAGUUGAACCUCGGACUUGGCUGGGGGGUCUCUCCGGAGUACUCUCUGGCCUGGUCUUUCCUUCUGGCGAGCCGCGGUGCUAUUCACUUAGUGCCGUGGGGAACCAGGACUUUUACUUUGAAAAAAUUAGAGUGUUUAAAGCAGGCUUACGCUUGAAUACAUUAGCAUGGAAUAAUAAAAUAGGACUUUGGUUUUAUUUUGUUGGUUUUCGAAACCGAAGUAAUGAUUAAUAGGGAUAGUUGGGGGCAUUCGUAUUUAGCCGUCAGAGGUGAAAUUCUUGGAUUGGCUAAAGACGAACUUCUGCGAAAGCAUUUGCCAAGGAUGUUUUCA